UAGCCUAGUGGUUAAGGCUGUGGAUCUCCAAUCCGGAGACGGCGGGUUCGAUUCCCGU
rnacentral:tRNA from 1 species